ACCAGUAUAGCUCAGUGACACAGCAUCUGUCUUGCAUGCAGAAGGGCUCUGGUUCAAUCCUUAAUAUCUCCAGGUG